rnacentral:rRNA from 1 species
AUGACAGCCAAGCCUUGUGCGGUUCUAUGCACGUGUAUGACAGAUUCUAAAUGGUCAGUAACUAAAAUGCCCCCAGAGAUCAACUAUACAGUAUACUUAAGCUAUGAAUAUAUGCCUUCAUAUUUGAAGCAGUGCUUUCUAUACUACUCUCUUCUUCCUAAAAGUAAACCUUAUAAUAUGGAUCAAGUAGUUGCAAUGUGGAUGAGCGAAGGUUUUCUUCAUGGAAACUCUAGUGAUUUAGAAGAAUUGGGAAGAAAUUACUACGAGGAGUUGCUAUCCAGGAACCUUAUAGAGCCAGAUAACUUGUAUGUUGCUCCAUGGAUUUCCAGCAUGCAUGAUGUUGUUCGCUCAUUUGCUCAUUACAUGACUAAGUAUGAAGCACUCAUAGCUCAAGAUGGAGACACUGAUAUUCUUACUAAACUUAGUUCGCAAAAGUUUCUUCGGUUGACCAUAGAAAGCAAUCAAUUGCAAUCAGGUGAAGUUGACUGGAAAUCUCUACAGGAGCAACAAUCGUUGAGAACACUAAUCUCAACUAUCCAGAUCAAGAUGAAACCCGGUGAUUCAUUGAUUAUGUUUUCUAGUCUGCGGACUCUACAUAUAGAAUUUGCUAAUGUGGUUUCAUUGGUUGAAUCGUUGCAUCAACUCAAGCACCUGAGGUAUUUGAAGCUAGUAAAUACCAAUAUAUCUGUACUUCCAGGGAACAUUGGCAAGAUGAAACUAUUGCAAUUCCUUGACCUUCAUGGAUGUGAAAAUUUGGUGAAUCUUCCUGGUAGCAUUGUGAAACUUGGCCAGCUGAGGUUACUUGAGCUUCCCAGCAUAAGUGUGAUACCUGGAGGGUUCCGUACCCUAACAAAUAUGAGGAAACUAAAUUGGUUUCGAGCCCAUAUGGAUGGUGAAUGGUGCAGUUUGGACGAGUUAGAGUCUCUUUCCCAACUCAGGUUCCUUAGUUUAUAUAAAUUGGAGAACGUAUCUGCUGCCUCGUGUGCUGCUAAUGCUAGGCUUGGUGAUAAAAAGUAUCUUAUCAGACUGUCUUUAUUCUGCACCAGCAGACUGGAAAAUGAUGGGUUGAUAAAAGAGAAAGAAUGUAUCCCUGAGGAAGAGCAACGACGAAUCGAGAAGGUGUUCAAUGAGCUCUCCCCUCCACCCAGUAUAGAUAAUAUUAUAAUGGGUGGUUAUUUUGGCAAGCAACUCCCAACUUGGAUGAUGUCUGCAACCAUGGGGAUCCGGCUUGCCUGCUCCCUCCCCAUGCUCCCAUCCGUGCUCCCACUUCAUCCUACGGUUGUCCUUUUCCCUUUUUCCUUUCUAAUUAAUCAUCUCCCCCCCUGA